CAGCUGAACAUCUGAAGGGCAACAAGGAACUACACUACCUGCUGUUGUGAUAACAAGGACUUUGGACAAGGAGGCCCUGUUCCAAGGUCUGGGUCAGGGUUAGAGACGAGCUCUCAUGUGCAACCUGAACAUGUUGACUUUCUUGGCUCUCAGAUCCCCAAAUCUGAUGCUCUGCGAAAAGCUGGAAGUGCUACUGCCUUGACAGUGGCCCUGAGCUCAGUCUGGCACUUUCUGAGAAGACUCCUGGUUUAUAAAAGAAAAGAAAUGAUGAGCUGGAAGGGCCUGCAGCCUCAUAACUUAGAGCUAACCACAUCGCCUGUUGCUCUGACUUGGCACCAUGAGAGACAGGGAGGGGUGCAUGGUUCCUUUCCAGGUUGCCCCAUGCCCGCCCUUCUGCGUAGAGGAAGUCACAAAUGGGGCCAAGAAAUAAAAGGAGAAUUGAACUUGAGAAGGAAAGCACAGGGGGCUUCAUCCAACCCAGAAGUCAUAAAGAUACAGCAGAAAAGAUAGGUAACGCAUGGAGGAUGUUCCCGUAGUUGUUGGCCAGGAUUUCAUUUCUGAAUCAUUUCUUAACACUUGGCAAAGAGGCUUAAGUGUUUCAAACUUCUGUGGCUGAGGAACUGGAAGUAUCUGUAAACAACAAUGGGUUUUAACCUUUUAAUACUAUCAUCACUUUCACUUAAAAAUAUUUGAUGUUUCACAGGAAUGCUCUAUUAGGUUGAAGUGUAUAUUCGUUUCUCAAGUCACCUAACCAAGCAGAUUUCGGGAAGUGGCAGGACUUUCUUUAAAUCCUUAAUAUCCUUGGUAUUUGGAAUCCCUUAAUACAGUGCUUAUAGGUGAUCAGACUUUGUAUUUUCCGAUACUCUCUUGUGAGCGGUGAAACGUUCAUAGAUACUUGCUGAAUGUUAGCUCCGUGCUAACUGGGCUAGGCCCUGGGCAGGAAACAAAGAAGUCCAUGAGAGAGCCCAUGAGUCAUCCACUUAGCUGCACAGAACAUAAUCUCAUGCUAAUUAUUGGGCUACAUUUCUUAGACCUAUUUAAAACUCAUUAAAUAAAUGUUCAUAGGCACUUGAUGGUUACUGUGCAGCUGAAAUGAUAAUGCAGAUCUAAUAGAUAUAGGUAACAGUUUGUUUCCUAGGACUGCUGUAAUAAAGUGCUUGUCACAAACUUUGGUGGUCUAAAACAAGAAACAUUUGUUCUCUUACAGUUAUAGAGGCCAGAAGUUCAAAAUCAAGGUGUCAGCAGGGUCACAUUGUCUCUGAAGGAGGAGGAUCCUUCCUUGGCUCUUCCCAGCUUCUGGUGGCUGCUGGCAGCCCUGGUAUUCCUUGGCUUAUGGGUACAUCACUCCAGUGUUUCCUUCCAUCAUCACAGGGCAUUCUCCCUGAGUGUCUAUGUGCCUGCACCCAACUUUCUCCCUUCUUAUAAAAACACCAGUCAUUAGAUUAAGGCCCACCCUAAUCCAGUAUGGCCUCAUCUCAACUUGAUGACAUCUACAAAGACUGUAUUUUCAAAUAAGGUCACAUUUAUAGGUACUGAGGGUUAGGAUGGGAAUGUACCUUUUUGAGAGACACAAUUCAAACCAGCACACUGCCCAUGUUUUUAAAUAUAAGUUGUCAGAAAAAUAAAAAUAAUAAAAAAUUGUCAGGCUGUUGAAACACAGCUGCAAGUUCUUCGGCACCCUUU